UACGGAGGGGGCUAGCGUUGUUCGGAAUUACUGGGCGUAAAGCGCGCGUAGGCGGACCUGCAAGUCGGGGGUGAAAGCCCGAGGCUCAACCUCGGAAGUGCCUUCGAUACUGCGGGUCUCGAGUCCGGGAGAGGUGAGUGGAAUUCCUAGUGUAGAGGUGAAAUUCGUAGAUAUUAGGAAGAACACCAGUGGCGAAGGCGGCGCCCUGGCGCGGUACUGACGCUGAGGCGCGAAAGCGUGGGGAGCAAACAGG
rnacentral:rRNA from 1 species